GUGAUGUGCAAAUGUGUCUCAGCUGCUCUUCCCUUGUUCACAGCUCCUAGACACGGAACACAAGUUUCUUUACAGCUGGGUUUAGGGUCAGCGAGAAGAACAGUGAAUACUGCAAAAGUGCUGUUAAGUCAGGGAUUUCUGAUGAAGGGUCCAGGCCCGAAACGUAAGCCUUCCUGCCCCUAUGAUGCUGCUGGGCCUGCUGUGUUCAUCCAGCUGUCCACCUUGUUAUCUCACCCUGUGAAGGCAGGGAUUCGGGUCAGACUAGGACCUGUUCCUGACUGAAAGUGAAACGGCAACUUUUUAAGUUUCCAGUCCGAAAGAGACUCUGGACGUUUUGGUUCGAGAACUUAAAAGGAGAAGGUGCUGUGGGCAUCUUGGGAGUGAAGGAGGCAUGGACCAGGCUGUUCUAGAGCGAACGUCCCUGAUGGAAGGCUGACGAAGGAGAGGAGGGGCUACACGUUGGUGGCAUCCAACUGGAGGUGAUGGAUGUGGCAGCUAAUGAUCCUCCAGACGUGGAUGCUGAUGGGAUGCAGAUUCAUGGGGAAUUCCUGACUCUGCAAAAUUCUCAACUCGUUCAGUAAAGUGAUGAAAGAGACACAUGUUGGUCAACCAGAAAAAUAAAGGGAAUCAAGAUCUGGAGUCUUCAUUAAGUCCUGCAACCAGGUAUUCGGGGAGUUCCUGACUUGGCAAAAUUCCCAACUGAUGUCUCGUCAAUCAUCUCAGUGAAGAUAGUUGGUCAGCCAGAGAGACACAGGACUGCGAGAUCUGGAGCCUUCGAUAAAGCCUGCAGCAAGGAUACACAAAUGCAGAAAAUCCACAAUAUGGACCCUUGAAAAUGUAAGAUUUCUACAACUGGAGUUAUUGAGAAGAUACGCGCGACUAUCAUCAACAUCGAAAAAAUACAAAACGUAGAUGAACCACAGAAGUAUGAAGCUACCGGAUAUUGUAAAGAGCAAAAUGAUAGACUUCCUUCUGCUCUCAGUUUCAGAGUCUAUCUUGCUGUUACACUUGAGUCGUUUGCGAAUUCGACUGACCAAUAAAAUGUUCCUGACUGUCACACCAUUGAGAAAUAGAAUUAAACCAAAUGGUAUCAAAGGUGUUAAAAUCUUUUCAAAUGUCCGAAAUCCAAUCCAUCUCGAGUCAGUAAAAUAGCUUGGCUUAUUAGAACAGCUUUCCCAAUCCCAAGUUCUCUCCUUAAAAAAAAACUGCCAAUGUGUGAAAUAAUGCUUGUGACAAUCCGGAGUGGUUAGUUUAUGGAGUUGCUAACACAGAGUAUAGUUGUGAUCAGGUAUGUUUUCGAAUUAGAGUGAUAGGGAGUAAAUUUGGCAACAAUGGCAGGAUAUGUUAAUUGCCUUAGAUGAGCUGAAAUAGAUGAAAGUUAACGUGGAUCAGGUAGUCACAUAUGACCGACUUGCACCGAGUAUAUCAUUCCUGUGCUCUCAAUUCUGGGAUUUGAGCAGAACAGCACUACCUUAGAUGCAUUUUUAAUCGUAAUAAAUGUGCAUUAUAUGCAAUGACAUGUUUAAAAUCCAUUGAUUCUCAGGAUAAACAAUGUCCCCUAUUACUACAUUUUACCAGCGACGGACCCGUCAUCACAUCAAGCACAUACCGGUGAAAACGGAUGCUUACUGGAAUUAGAAAAAAAUACGCAUUGCUGGAAAUGUUCAGCAAGCUUAUGAGCAUCUGUGGAGUGAAAAUGGAGUUAACUGGACAGCCACAGUCACUGUCAGUCUUACUGAUGUUAUCCGGCAAUGUCCAUUCUUAUUUUAGUAAUCACUUCCCUCCGAGCAAAUGUUGCUCCUCUUCAACAGUGACCAACAUUUCACAAAAUGCGACGACUUUACAACUGAAGGUGCAUGCAAAAUUGGAAUAGUUGGUACAACAGACUUUCAACGUACACUCAAAGUAUUGCUAUUCAUUGAGUGGUACGCACAGUUUGUGCAGAACGGCCAUCUAUCGAAUCGCAACAGCGUAGAGAUUUUAUGAAGCGAAAGGAGACUCUUCAGUUCAUAAUGUGUGCACAUGGUCUUCAAAUAUAAAAGUAUUUACCGGUACUAUUGCCUCCCUUUCUGAUUUUUUGUUUUAAACAAACAAGCCCUAAUUUGUAAGAUUAGUACCCAGAAAGCAAUACGUAGUUUGUGAAUAACUGCUUCAGUAACUCACCAAGAACUCCAAUAACGGCAAGAAUUAGAUAGUAUAUUUUCCGAACAAUUUGAAUUGGAAGAUGCAUUGUUUUUGCGUGAAGUUUCUUGUCCUUGUCUGCUCUGGACCAAUUAUGAAUUAAGCUCUGAGCUAAUGUAUUCAUAAUACAUUGUCUUUAAAUAUUCACACACGUCUACUGGGAAUUUGUGGAUGCAAAAUGAUUCGUGUUUUAAAAUUAUUCCUUGAAUAAGCAAUUUACUGAUGACGUGUUAAUUCCAAGAUGUAAAUGUAAUUUUGGUGCUGACUUAAUUGUACUCAACCACCCUGCCCUCUUGAAAGCCAACGCAAAUCCCUUCGAAAAACAAAAUGACGUUAAAGCUUGCUUUAAAUUGCACUGGAAAUGUUGGGUCAUGCAUUCUGUUUGAUGAACUUUAGCUCUUCCAACUCACUGGGUCCCCAUACUGGAACAAAUGAUAUUUGUGCAGUGUUUUCAUUGAUUUUCACAAGCCUAUGCUCGGCAGUCAUUUUUAUGAAGGGGUAGUGAAGUCGAAACAUUGUCUGUGCUUUCCCUUCACAGGUGGUGCCAAGCCUGGUGUGUUUCACGAGCAAUUUCUCUUCUGAUAAAUUAUCAAGUGUUUUCUUUGUCAGUUGAGUUCCCUUUUUUCUGGUUGUUUCUUUCUGUUAAUCAGGUGUUUCAUAUUCUGCCACUGACAGUAUUUCAGGUGAUAUUGCUCCUUUUUUGGCUGUUAUAUUUACUCAAAGGGCCUAAAUAAUAAUGAGGAGACUUAUUCUAAUCUUUCAGGCAGCAAGUCAGCCAGAUGUUCUGACGAUUCCUAAAACACACAGCUGUUUCUGACGUAGUGUCUCGGCCCGAAAUGUCAGCUUUCCUGCUCCUCUGAUGCUGCUUGGCCUGCUGUGUUUAUCCAGCUCUACACCUUGUUGUCUCAGAUUCUCCAGCAUCUGCCGUUCCUACUAUCUCUGUUGGUAUGAACUUCUGUUUUGUUCUUCCUUUUCCCUUUUAAAAACAGAGAAUAAUUUAUACAUUGGAAUGUUCGGGACAGGGAAUUCAGUUGCACAU